rnacentral:miRNA from 1 species
CUGGAGAGAAUUCUUCUUCUCCAGCACCCUCUCUCUCUCUCUCUCUCUCUCUCACACACACACACACACACACACGGAGAGAGAGAGAGAGAGAGAGAGAGAGAGAGAGAGAGAGAGAGAGAGAGAGAUCUUUGUU